rnacentral:rRNA from 1 species
GGUUAACGCUGGCGGCGUGCCUAACGCAUGCAAGUCGAGCGAGGGCUCUUCUCCCGCAAGGGAGGGGAGUUCCUAGCGGCGAACGGGUGAGUAACACGUGGGCAACCUUUCCCAUCGUGGGGGAUAACACCGGGAAACCGGUGCUAAUACCGCAUGUCAUCGCCGAAGGCAUCUUCGGUGAGGAAAGCAGCAAUGCGCGAUGGGGGUGGGCCCGCGGCCUAUCAGCUAGUCGGUGGGGAACGGCCUACCGAGGCAUUGACGGGUAGCUGGUCUGAGAGGACGACCAGCCACACGGGGACUGAGACACGGCCCCGACUCCUACGGGAGGCAGCAGCGGGGAAUAUUCCGCAAUGGGCGAAAGCCUGACGGAGCGACGCCGCGUGUGGGAUGAAGUCUCUCGGGAU